rnacentral:lncRNA from 1 species
CAUCAUACUUAUAGCUUAAAGGUAAACAUAAUUUAACUUACUCAUUAUCAUCUACUCGAGUCACAUUCUCUAAAUUAAGCUCGUUACUCAUGCUUACCAUAUAGGUACCUGUACCACUCACAACAUGAUUAUUCUUUCUUUAUCAAAAUUGAUCUAUAACUCUCAUCAUUGAAACAUUUGGAAUACUACUGGAUAUUUUAU